GAUGAACGCUGGCGGCGUGCCUAAUACAUGCAAGUCGAGCGAACAGACGAGGAGCUUGCUCCUCUGACGUUAGCGGCGGACGGGUGAGUAACACGUGGAUAACCUACCUAUAAGACUGGGAUAACUUCGGGAAACCGGAGCUAAUACCGGAUAAUAUAUUGAACCGCAUGGUUCAAUAGUGAAAGACGGUUUUGCUGUCACUUAUAGAUGGAUCCGCGCCGCAUUAGCUAGUUGGUAAGGUAACGGCUUACCAAGGCAACGAUGCGUAGCCGACCUGAGAGGGGGUUCGGCAACAUUGGAACGGAGACACGGUACAGCCUCUUACGGGAGGAAGCAGUAGGGAAUCUUCAGCAAUGUGGGAAAGCCUGACGGAGCAACGCGGCGGGAUUAACAAAGGGCUUCGAAACGUAAAAUUCUGUUAUUAUGGAAGAACAAAUGUGUAAGUAACUAUGCACUUCUUGACGGUACCUAAUCAAAAAGCCACGGCUAACUACGUG
rnacentral:rRNA from 1 species